rnacentral:rRNA from 1 species
GAUGAACGCUGGCGGCGUGCCUAAUACAUGCAAGUCGAACGAACAGACGAGGAGCUUUCUCCCCUGACUUUAGCGGCGGACGGGUGAUGAACACGUGGAUAACCUACCUAUAAGACUUGUAUAACUUCAGGAAACCGGAUCUUAUACCGGAAAAUAUAUUGAACCGAAUUGUUCAAUAGUGAAAGACGGUUUUUGUGUCACUUAUAGAUGGAUCCGCGUCGCAUUAGUUACUUGGUAAGGUAACGGCUUACCAAGGCAACGAUGCGUAGCCGACCUGAGAGCGUGAUCGGACAGACUGGCACUGAGACACGGCCGAGACUCCUAGGGGAGGACGCAGUAGGGAAUCUUCCGCAAUGGGGGAAAGCCGGAUGGAGCAAAGCCGCGUGAGUGAUGAAGGAGUUCGGCUCGGAAAGCUCUGUUAGUAGGAAAGAAGAAAUGUGUUAGUAACUGUGAUGGUAUUGACGGUACCGAAAGAGAAAGCCACGGCUAACUACGUG